CGAAAUAGCGACGUUUGACAAAUCUCGCCGAUACGUUUGAACAACGCGAAAGCACGUUCAAGACUAGAUAUCCUGCGUUUCACAACUCAUAAUUUCCUGAUAUUACAAUAUAAAAUGUCUGUACAAAUUACAGUCGUGCCAAUAGAAGCGUUCCGAACAAUUUUGAUCAGUUCAUUUCCAUGCGUCGAUCACAGAACAAUUCCUCAAUCAUUUGAAGAAGUUCCUUAGAAAUUUCCUAGCUUCCUGUGCAGAUAAACCAAUCAUGUUA